UACGUAGGUGGCAAGCGUUGUCCGGAUUUAUUGGGGUUAAAGGGUGCGUAGGCGGCCCCGUAAGUCAGUGCUGAAAUAUCCCGGCUUAACCGGGAGGGUGGCAUUGAUACUGCGAGGCUUGAGUAAAGUUGAGGUAGGCGGAAUUGACGGUGUAGCGGUGAAAUGCUUAGAUAUCGUCAAGAACACCGAUAGUGUAGACAGCUUACUAAGCUUUAACUGACGCUGAGGCACGAAAGUGUGGGGAUCAAACAGG
rnacentral:rRNA from 1 species